rnacentral:lncRNA from 1 species
CCGCAUUAUACUGGUGGGAGACCUAGAACAUAAAAUGAAAAGACAAAAAAUGUAUUCCCGCAUUAUACUGGUGGGCGACCUAGAACAUGAAAUGAAAUGUAUGAAAUGUAUGCCCGCAUUAUACUGGUGGGCGACCUAGGACAUGAAUUGAAAUGACAGAAUGUAUUCCCGCAUUAUACUGGUGGGUGAACUAGAACAUGAAAUGAAAAACAGAAACGUAUGCCCGCAUUAUACUGGUGGGCGACCUAGAACAUGAAAAUGAAAAAAAGAAAUGUAUUCCCGCAUUAUACAGAUGGGCGCCUGUUUAACUAAGACAUAAAAUUUUGAAUUUGUUUCCUCGUUCCUCCGAGAAAGUUUUUGACAAUGGCAAAAAAAUUUCUGCCCCGGUCUUAGUGACCUUCCUUGUGGUGUGUCUUUCUGUCAUCAUCAUCCUUUAUUUUCCUGUAGAAUCAAAGAAAAUUUUGUUAGUUUU